AGCAGCCGCGGUAAUUCCAGCUCCAAUAGCGUAUAUUAAAGUUGUAGCAGUUAAAAAGCUCGUAGUUGAAUUUCGGAAUCUGUCCGUCGGUCGGGCUUCACUGUCCGNACUGGUGUGAUGGGUUUCUACCUUCUGAAUAACCGGCAUGUCAUUAAUUUGGUGCGCCGGGGAAGCAGAACUAUUACCUUGAAAAAAUUAGAGUGCUUAAAGCAGGCUAUCGCCUGAAUAGAUUAGCAUGGAAUAAUAAAAUAGGACGGCAUGGUUCUAUUUUGUUGGUUUCUAGGAUCACCGUAAUGAUUAAUAGGGAUAGUUGGGGGCAUUAGUAUUCAAUUGUCAGAGGUGAAAUUCUUGGAUUUAUUGAAGACUAACUUCUGCGAAAGCAUUUGCCAAGGAUGUUUUCAUUAAUCAAGAACGAAAGUUAGGGGAUCGAAGACGAUCAGAUACCGUCGUAGUCUUAACCAUAAACUAUGCCGACUAGGGAUCGGACGAUGUUAAUUUUUUAAUGACUCG
rnacentral:rRNA from 1 species